UACGAAGGGGCUAGCGUUGCUCGGAAUCACUGGGCGUAAAGCGCACGUAGGCGGAUUGUUAAGUCAGGGGUGAAAUCCUGGAGCUCAACUCCAGAACUGCCUUGAUACUGGCGAUCUUGAGUCCGGGAGAGGUGAGUGGAACUGCGAGUGUAGAGGUGAAAUUCGUAGAUAUUCGGAAGAACACCAGUGGCGAAGGCGACACACUGGCUCACUACUGACGCUGAGGCGCGAAAGCGUGGGGAGCAAACAGG
rnacentral:rRNA from 1 species